rnacentral:rRNA from 1 species
ACGCUUGAAGUCAGUCGCGUUAACCAGGGAUCAGCCUUGCUUUUGCUUGGUGUACUUCCUGGUUGAUGGGUCAACAUCAGUUUUGACUGUUGGAAAAAAGUUAGAGGAAUGUGGCAUCUUCGGAUGUGUUAUAGCCUUUGACUGUAUACAGCAGUUGGGACUGAGGAAUUCAGCACGCCGCAAGGCCGGGAUUUAUCCACGUACGUGCUUAGGAUGUUGGCAUAAUGGCUUUAAUCGACCCGUCUUGAAACACGGACCAAGGAGUC